rnacentral:rRNA from 1 species
CUACGGGAGGCAGCAGUGGGGAAUAUUGCGCAAUGGGGGCAACCCUGACGCAGCCAUGCCGCGUGUGUGAAGAAGGCCUUCGGGUUGUAAAGCACUUUCAAUUGGGAAGAAAGGUUGUACGUUAAUAGCGUGCAGCUGUGACGUUACCUUUAGAAGAAGCACCGGCUAACUCCGUGCCAGCAGCCGCGGUAAUACGGAGGGUGCGAGCGUUAAUCGGAAUUACUGGGCGUAAAGCGCGCGUAGGCGGUUUGUUAAGUCGGAUGUGAAAGCCCUGGGCUCAACCUGGGAACUGCAUUCGAUACUGGCCGACUAGAGUACGAGAGAGGGAGGUAGAAUUCCACGUGUAGCGGUGAAAUGCGUAGAUAUGUGGAGGAAUACCGGUGGCGAAGGCGGCCUCCUGGCUCGAUACUGACGCUGAGGUGCGAAAGCGUGGGUAGCAAACAGGAUUAGAUACCCGUGUAGUCC